rnacentral:rRNA from 1 species
UAGAUACUCCAGUAGUCCACGCCGUAAACGAUGUCAACUAGUCAUUCCGAGUGUCGACCCUCGAAGUGGCGAAGCUAACGCGUUAAGUUGACCGCCUGGGAAGUACAACCGCAAGGUUAAAACUUAAAGGAAUAGACGGGAGCUUGCACAAGCGGUGGAGCGUCUGGUUUAAUUCGACAAUACGCGAGAAACCUUACCGAGACUUGAAACUCUGUUGACAACCCAAUGAAAGUUAGGCUUUUCGCAAGAACAACAGAGUCAGGUACUGCAUGGUUGUCGUCAGCUCGUGCCUUGAGGUGUUCCGUUAAGUCGGGUAACGAGCGCAACCCCUGUUGUCUGUUAUAAGUUUCAGGCAAGACUGCCCUCGUUAAAGGGGAGGAAGGAGGGGAUGACGUCAAAUCAGCAUGGUCCUUUGAUGUCUCGGGCUACACAGGCGCUACAAUGGUUGGUACAAUGAGUUGUGCGAAACGGCAACGUGAAGCUAAUCUCAUCAAAACCAAUCUCAGUCCGGAUUGGGGUCUGCAAUUCGACCCCAUGAAGCUGGAAUCGCUAGUAAUCGCGGAUCAUCUCGCCGCGGUGAAUACGUUCUCAAGCUUUGUACUCACCGCCCGUCACGUUAGGGAAGUCGGUAGUGCUGGAAGUCCCUGGUUUACCAGGGCCUAAGGCAAGAUCGGUGACCAGAACGAAGUCGUAACAAGGUAACCAAGGGCGAA